UUAUUUUACUGCACUGAAUUCAAAUUUACCUGAUAUUUCUACAAGUCUGUGAUUUUUAAGGGAAUGAAACCUGGAAUGCUAGUUCUCGGUGACAAUGUGCACGGCAUAUUCGAAGCGUGACAUCGAUAGCCCCACCUUGUGGCCGUUAGAGGAACACCACCGCGCUAAUCACGAACCCUCACAUCUCUGAAACAUACUACGCUGAGGCUUAUGAGGAUAAUUAUUAUUUUCUUUUUUCUUUACUGUUCGCUCAUUUUUGAGGUUGUUCCCAUGUGGGAAAACUCACCAAAAUUGGCACAGGUCAGAAAUUGCUCCCACAACUCGGGCGUAGACGCACGGCGCUGGCUGUGGCCAUGGAGCUCCAUAGCGCCCCCUUAUGUCAUUUUGUGUGUUAGGGUGCAUAUUGUGAUGGCAUUUAUGUCGCGACAACCUACGAAAAAGCCUCUCGGAGCAAUUAGCUCCGCCCAACCGGAGGUCAGCCAUUUUGGAUUUUACAUUGAAAGGCGUGGCCGUGGUGAAGCGCAGUUCGCCAUGAACCGGGAAGUGUUUUUUACUGGGUCAGGGAUGCUUCGACAGGCACGACACGUGGCGCAGGCAUAACAAAUGAGGACGGCUUUGACCCCAUACAAGUUGAGUUUGGCCGUUGCAAAACGGCUCCGUAGCGGCCCCAGGAUAAAAUAAACAUCAAGCCACCCGCGCGUCCGAACGCGUCUCUCGGCAUCAAUGAGCGAACCCGGAGGGGAGACGGCGAUUUCGCGGGACGCGGGGGAGAGGAUCCGCGCCCCGACGGCGAGAGUGUUCAGGCCCGUUCAUCGCUGCUCGCAGCUUUAAUUAUUAUUAUUAUUAUUAUUAUCCUUCAUAGUGUGAAUGCUGGGAACAUUCACAACAUGUUAUUCCACAAAAAUCAUUUUCAGUCUGGUCGUCUUGUUCCUCUUCUCCUUCCACAUUUUUCAACCCCAAAAAAGUAUCAGAAACUUCAUUGAAACAUCAAAAGGUUCAGCUCCAUCAGGACAUUCCAGCUUCACUAAGACCAGCGUAGUUGCAACAGAAGCCGGAGACCACCAACAAAUCCAACAAACGAAUGAACCAGAGUCAGAGAGAGAGAGAGGAAUCAGGAAGUCAAUCAAAAGGCUCUGUAGAGGGAAACGUUUGACUGUUUCCAUGGUAACCAUGGUAGGGAGACUUGUAUCAAACUGCGUAGGAACUCUGACGUACAAGUACAAGUACAAGUACAAGUACAAGUACAAGUCUAUCUACUCUACCGACACGAGAACUCGCCCCUGCCUGAAAAGAGAAACGUAUAGAACUUUGGGAUUUGUGGAGUCGCGACUUUCAUGUGCC